CAGCAGCCGCGGUAAUACGUAGGUCCCGGGCGUUGUCCGGAUUUAUUGGGCGUAAAGGGAGCGCAGGCGGUUUAGUAAGUCUGAAGUUAAAGGCAUUGGCUCAACCAAUGUAUGCUUUGGAAACUGUUAGACUUGAGUGCAGAAGGGGAGAGUGGAAUUCCAUGUGUAGCGGUGAAAUGCGUAGAUAUAUGGAGGAGCACCGGUGGCGAAAGCGGCUCUCUGGUCUGUCACUGACGCUGAGGCUCGAAAGCGUGGGUAGCGAACAGGACUAGAUACCCCGGUAGUCCCUGUCUCUUAUACA
rnacentral:rRNA from 1 species